GGCGGCAGGCUUAACACAUGCAAGUCGAGCGGUAGCAGAUCUAGCUUGCUAGAUGCUGACGAGCGGCGGACGGGUGAGUAACGCGUAGGAACCUGCCCAGUAGUGGGGGAUAGCCCGGGGAAACUCGGAUUAAUACCGCAUACGCUCUACGGAGGAAAGAGGGGCUUCGGGCUCUCGCUAUUGGAUGGGCCUGCGUGAGAUUAGCUAGUUGGUGAGGUAAUGGCUCACCAAGGCGACAAUCUCUAGCUGGUCUGAGAGGAUGAUCAGCCACACUGGGACUGAGACACGGCCCAGACUCCUACGGGAGGCAGCAGUGGGGAAUAUUGCACAAUGGGCGCAAGCCUGAUGCAGCCAUGCCGCGUGUGUGAAGAAGGCUUUCGGGUUGUAAAGCACUUUCAGUGGGGAGGAAGGCCUCGUAGUUAAUAGCUGCGAGGAUUGACGUUACCCACAGAAGAAGCACCGGCUAACUCCGUG
rnacentral:rRNA from 1 species